UUAUCGUGUGCGCGAGUCAUUGGGCGUUGAAAACCCAAGGGCGCAAUGAAAGUGAAUGUUUCCGCAAGGAGCUGAUGUGCGAUCCCGGGCGYUGCGGUGCCCGGGCGCAGCAUGGCCCCAUCCUGACUGCUUGCAGUGGGGUGGAGGCAGAGCGUACGCGGUGAGACCCGAAAGAUGGUGAACUAUUCCUGAGCAGGACGAAGCCAGAGGAAACUCUGGUGGAAGUCCGAAGCGGUUCUGACGUGCAAUCGAUCGUCUGACUUGGGUAUAGGGGCGAAAGACUAAUCGAACCAUCUAGUAGCUGGUUCCUUCCGAA
rnacentral:rRNA from 1 species